rnacentral:rRNA from 1 species
UACGGGGGGGGGCAAGCGUUGUUCGGAAUUACUGGGCGUAAAGGGCUCGUAGGUGGCCAACUAAGUCAGACGUGAAAUCCCUCAGCUUAACUGGGGAACUGCGUCCGAUACUGGUUGGCUUGAAUCCGGGAGAGGGACGUGGAAUUCCAGGUGUAGCGGUGAAAUGCGUAGAUAUCUGGAGGAACACCGGUGGCGAAGGCGGGUCA